UACGUAGGGGGCAAGCGUUGUCCGGAUUUAUUGGGCGUAAAGAGCGUGUAGGCGGCCAUACAGGUCAGCUGUGAAAACUCGAGGCUCAACCUCGAGAGGUCAUCGGAAACCAUCUGGCUAGAGUCCGGAAGAGGAGAGUGGAAUUCCCGGUGUAGCGGUGAAAUGCGCAGAUAUCGGGAAGAACACCUAUGGCGAAGGCAGCUCUCUGGGACGGUACUGACGCUGAGACGCGAAAGCGUGGGGAGCGAACAGG
rnacentral:rRNA from 1 species